CCAUGGGUGGCCGAGUGGCUGAAGGCGGCGGACUGUAAAUCCGUAGUGCAUUGCGCACCACGUAGGUUCGAAUCCUACUCCAUGGACCA
rnacentral:tRNA from 1 species